GUGAUGCCCGUGUGCAACUACUCAAUGCAUGCUCCAAGUGGCCAGGGUCUACGCACGACUUGUUCAUUCUGCGCCGCAGCAGAGUAAACCUCACAAUUUGGCACACAGCAGAACAAGGUUGGUUGUGGUGCGCACCAUCGGACUGCUGAAUGGCAGGUGGCGUUGCCUUGAUGCAUCAGGUGGAAAACUCCUCUACAAGCCAGAAGUCAAAGGUGACACGCAUAAUACUGGCAUGUGGUGUGAGCCACAACAUAGCCCUAAGGCAUGGAGAUUAGAAGGGACACCUAAGAGCCUCAUAACCCACCACCCAAUGGAGCACCUGUCCCAGCUGAUGCAGUGAGGUGGUGGCAGCUCAUACAGAGAUUUGUGGACUGAGGUGGUCAACACACGAACUGUAGAUGUGGACAGACCCUCAACCCCUGUGGCCAAACAUUCCCUCACUCAUGGCAUCUUUGGGUCUGCGAUGAUUGGGAACCGGCACACGGACGCAGACGGACCCUCGACACCUGUGGCCAAACAUUCCCUCUCACUCCUGGCACCUGCUGAUUUGGGAGCCUCAUGCACUUUAACCCUGGGUGGAGGGCGGCCGGGCUGCAACGAAGCUUCACAUGGUGGAGCGGCCACCCUCAACCGGCGCACGGGCUGCAACGCAGCUUCCUCCGUUUAUGUGAAUUAAAAUAAAAAUCAGUGUGUCUUGUAUAUAAAAGUUACUGACAACCACAGUUACAGUCUCUUAAUUAUUUACCAUGAUCCAGUGAUGCUGUAAUGAACAGGAUGGGAGAGAGCUGGUUUCAAGCGCAGGGCGCAGCAGGUGUUUUUGUAAAGGACCACAGGAGGCGGCAGAUAGCUGGGUCCAGGGGCAGGCAGAAGGUCAUACACAGGGGGUCCAAAAAGGCAACAGUUCAGGCAGGGAAAAGGCUAGUAACAUCGUCUGGGAGAUCAGGCAACAGGUUGCUAACAGGAAAUCCGAAAGUACAGGCAGGGACUAGGCAAAAGGCGUCGUUAGUUUUAGCCUGCUUCACUAUCGUACUCGGGAGGCUUUAGAUUACGGGAAAACCAGAGCUCCGAAUAGACGUGUCACACAACAAACAAUACCUCACAAUGAUGGGGUGCAAAGAACUGAACUAAAUAGUGUGUGAUAAUGACAUACAGGUGUGUGAACAGGUGAUCAGAAUUCAGGUGAUCUGGAAAGUGAGCUGCGUUCAGGGGAUCUACACGUUUGAGAGUUGGAAGCAGACAAUGACAUACAGGUAGGUGUGUGAACAGGUGAUCGGAAUUCAGGUGAUCUGGAAAGUGAGCUGCGUUCAGGGGAUCUACACGUUUGAGAGUUGGAAGCAGACAUUACAAAUGCAGUCGUGGGGGUUUCGCGUGCCGACUUCACCGUUUCCGAUGUAAAAGUUGGGAUUAAACCAUAUGAAAAAGCAGAAAAGCUAAAAUAGAAGAAAAACCUCACUUUAAAAAACAUUUACUGUCGCCGUCGGGGCAUGUGCCAGUGUAUGCGCUUUAACCAAUGAUUGCCCCGACGCACUGGUCCAUUUGGGAGAGCUCCGGCGUGCCAGGCCCCCCUCCCGUUGCCUUAAUGCUGCGGUUAUGUAUGGAUAUUUUCCCCCCCUUGCAGUUUAAGGUCAGACCAUUUCUCUUUCACAUCAGCCACAGUUCUGUCUUGCUGCCCCACCUAGUUCACUGCAGCGGCGACACACUCCCUAGAUACCCGUUUGGCUUCGUCAACCCACUAUUUAGUCCACCGAAUAAGACGGGUUCACCGUCUUCAUUCUCUACCACAGCCGUGAUGUCGUCUUCCAAAAAGUUAGCUUUUCUCUUUUGGUCCAUGGCGAUUCCUUACUAAAC
rnacentral:lncRNA from 1 species